rnacentral:rRNA from 1 species
UGGGGGAUAUUGCACAAUGGGCGAAAGCCUGAUGCAGCGACGCCGCGUGGGGGAUGAAGGCCUUCGGGUUGUAAACUUCUUUUGCUCUGAACAAGGCAUGCUAAUGGGUGUGUUGAGUGUAGGGGUUGAUUAGCGCCGGCUAACUACGUGCCAGCAGCCGCGGUAAUACGUAGGGCGCGAGCGUCGUCAGGAAUUAUUGGGCGUAAAGGGCUUGUAGGUGGAUGGAUGCGUCUGUCGUGAAAGCUCAUGGAUUAACUGUAGGUUUGCAGUGAGUAUGGGCUGGCUUCAGUGCAGUAGGAGAGGCUGGAAUUCCUGGUGUAGCGGUGGAAUGCGCAGAUAUCAGGAGGAAUACCGGUGGCGAAGGCGGGUCUCUGGGCUGUUACUGACACUGAGGAGUGAAAGCAUGGGGAGCGAACAGG